ACGAACGCUGGCGGCAGGCCUAACACAUGCAAGUCGAACGAACCUUCGGGUGAGUGGCGCACGGGUGCGUAACGCGUGGGAAUGUACACCUUGGUAAGGAAUAACUGCUGGAAACGGUAGCUAAUACCUUAUAAUGACUCCGGUCCAAAGAUUUAUCGCCAAGGGAUCAGCCCGCGUCAGAUUAGAUAGUUGGUGAGGUAAAAGCUCACCAAGUCGACGAUCUGGUAGGGGGUCUGAGAGGAUGAUCCCCCACACUGGUACUGAGACACGGACCAGACUCCUACGGGAGGCAGCAGUGAGGAAUAUUGGACAAUGGGGACAACCCUGAUCCAGCCAUGCCGCGUGAGUGAAGAA
rnacentral:rRNA from 1 species